rnacentral:lncRNA from 1 species
AAAUUGGUGUCCAGCAGAUGAUACCAGUAACUUUUGGCAGCUUUCUACCGUUGAAGUUCCAACCUAUCAGAGAGGAAAUUGUUGAAGGCGAUGGAAUUAUGCAGGAACAGGAACGAGUCGAAUCAGUUCAUCAUCGACUUCAGUUCACUACGCAAACAAAGUUAACUCAGAAUGAACCAACAGAAGGAGUUCUUGUGACCGAAAAUGGCAGUAAAGGCACCAUGCAUCAGAACAGAAGCCCUCAAAAAGGGAAAUCACUCAACUAUGUACCACCUGCAAUGCGAGAGAGUAUGUUUGUGGUACAAAUUGAUGAAGAUGAUACUAGAGAACAGGAGUCCUACUGGGGAAAUGCCUUGAUAGGGUUUGUACUAGG